AUUGAACGCUGGCGGCAGGCCUAAUACAUGCAAGUCGAGCGGACGAAGGAAAAUCGCUCCUGGAUUAUGCUGCGGACGGGCGAGUAAUUCAUAGGUAGAUGCCUGGCAGAUAGGGCUAAGGUCAGGUCACGGGCCCUAAUCCCGCACCCGUCCAGAGGGUGAACGGGAGGGAUCUUCGGACAACAAGCUACCUGCUGAGACUAGGGCGGAUUAGCUAGUUGGUGUGGUAAUGGCCUACCAAGGCGACGAUCCGUACCUGGUCUGAGAGGAUGAUCAGUCACACUGGAACUGAGACACGGUCCAGACUCCUACGGGAGGCAGCAGUAGGGAAUAUUCGGCAAUGGGCGAAAGCCUGAUCGAGCCACGCCGCGUGUGUGAAGAAGGUCUUCGGAUUGUAAAGCACUGUUAGUUGGGAGGAAGAGCAGUGAGUUAAUACCUGGCUAUUUUGACGUUACCAACUCAAAAAGCACCGGCUAACUUCGUG
rnacentral:rRNA from 1 species